rnacentral:ncRNA from 1 species
UACCUGGUUGAUCCUGCCAGUAGUCAUAUGCUUGUCUCAAAGAUUAAGCCAUGCAUGUCUAAGUACAUGCCGAAACAAGGCGAAACCGCGAAUGGCUCAUUAAAUCAGUUAUGGUUCCUUAGAUCGUUUCUUCCUACUUGGAUAAC